CCUACGGGAGGCAGCAGUGAGGAAUAUUGGUCAAUGGACGAGAGUCUGAACCAGCCAAGUAGCGUGAAGGAUGAAUGCCCUAUGGGUUGUAAACUUCUUUUAUAUGGGAAUAAAAUGUUCCACGUGUGGGAUUUUGUAUGUACCAUAUGAAUAAGGAUCGGCUAACUCCGUGCUAGCAGCCGCGGUAAUACGGAGGAUCCGAGCGUUAUCCGGAUUUAUUGGGUUUAAAGGGAGCGUAGGUGGAUUGUUAAGUCAGUUGUGAAAGCUUGCGGCUCAACCGUGAAAUUGCAGUUGAAACUGGGAGUCUUGAGUACAGUAGAGGUCGGCGGAAUUCGUGGUGUAGCGGUGAAAUGCUUAGAUAUCACGAAGAACUCCGAUUGCGAAGGCAGCUCACUGGACUGCAACUGACACUGAGGCUCGAAAGUGUGGGUAUCAAACAGGAUUAGAUACCCUGGUAGUC
rnacentral:rRNA from 1 species